ACCUUCACCAGGUCAAGGAGCUGGCAUCAGGCACAAUCCAUUUGCCCAUAACGCCUAGUCUUACCACACCCCCAAGGGUAAUCAGCAGUGAUAAAUCUUGUUUAUAAGCGUCAGCUUGACUCAGUUAAAGAAAAUAGGGCUGGCCAACCCGGUGCCAGCCGCCGCGGCUAAACCGCUGGAGCCCAAGUUGAUAGCCAUCGGCGUUAAGCGUGAUUAAAGUUCUAUAAAGAUUAGGGUUAAAUUAAUACCUAGUAGUAAUAAGCUUGUCAUUAAGAAAAUCACAAACGAAAGUUACCCUAAUAAUACUUGAAUACACGACAGCUAGGAACCAAACUGGGAUUAGAUACCCCACUAUGCCUAGCCGUAAACAAUUAACUUACACUAAUAAACGCCAGGGAACUACGAGCUAUGCUUAAAACCCAAAGGACUUGACGGUGUCCCAUACCCACUAGAGGAGCCUGUUCUAUAAUCGAUGAUCCCCGCUAUACCUAACCAUCCCUUGCUUUAUCAGCCUGUAUACCUCCGUCAUAAGCCUACCAUGUGAACGUCCAGUGGGCCCAACGAACCAACAUGCCAGGUCAAGGUGCAGCUCACGGAAUGGUAAGUAAUGGGCUACAAUUUCUAAUCUAGAACAAACGGAAGGUUAUGUGAAAUCAUAACAUAAAGGUGGAUUUAGUAGUAAAAAGAAAAUAGAGUGUUCUUUUUAACCCGGCCCUGG
rnacentral:rRNA from 1 species